UGGCAAGAGUGUUUAUUUGUGGGCUGAUACAGGAAGAGAGCAAGCGAGUAGGUGUCAGAGGGAAGGGAAUGCCUCCCACCUGACUCCUUGCCUAGUUUUGGUCCCUGUGAAGAAGGAUUAGAGCUGACAGAGAGGGAAUCGUGGUGGGGGCUUGGAGCCUCUGGGCACAAGCACAUUCUCCUUGGGACAUAGAAGAGCCAAUACUGCUUGGAAAGGGGAUUGACCAUUUCCCACAUUUCUGCAGGGAAUCCUACAGUCCCUCGAGUACUGGCAACCUAGGGGAUGCCUAGGCAUGGACCCUGACGUCUUCAUGAGCAUAGGACAGAGAAGAGGGAGACGUGUAGAAGAGAAUCGCACAUUAAGGUCAAAAGUGAACUUUGGAAGCAGUAAGCCCCAUGACCUCUCCAAAUCAACUUGGUUUUGGCCUUCCCAGGAAGAGUACCUUAGGGAAACUGAUGCUACUCUAUGGGGGUCUGAGCAGUGGAUCUUCAGGGUCAAGAGAGAAAGCCAUAGUUUAGUUCCAGCAAUGAGAGACUCAUUCUGAGAGUUCACCAUGAGCCGAGAGAGGAUUGGGACAAGGACACAGCAAGAAGGCAGCUGUCUGCAGGCCAGGAAGAAGGAUGUCCCCAGGAACUGGAAUCUGCAGUCACCUGGAUCUUGGUCUUCCCAGUCUCCAGAACAGAUGUAAACAAUGCUCCUAGAGUGACUGAAUGGCUUGUUUACAGUAAGUCUCCCAUUUAUAUUUGUUUUCUACUUGUCAAUGUUAUUGUUGAAUUGAAUCCCCAUAUGAGUUUCUAACAUUUUAGCAGUACUUUACAAUUUGAAAGUUCAUUCUCAUGCAACCUUGUCCUGACCUCAUGAGGUAAACAGGUUUUGAGGCUUGGCAGAGAUUGGGAGCCCAUUGAGUGGUGGGAG